GGGUGUGCUAAAGGACUCGUUCAAUAUUUGCAACAUGUCUUGUGACUGAGUAUUUUCGAAAUGAUGGCUGAACUCAUCAUUCAUUACCACCAGCAUAAUACAAUGAACCAUAGUUCGAUCAUUGAGCCACUUCUGAUAAGUGUCUCUGACCAUACUACGAACGUUCAGAGCUGGCUCCUCGAGUGUCGGAUCAGUUAACACAUACAAGAUCCG
rnacentral:lncRNA from 1 species